AAUCUUCCACAAUGGACGGAAGUCUGAUGGAGCAACGCCGCGUGAGCGAAGAAGGUUUUCGGAUCGUAAAGCUCUGUUGUAAGGGAAGAACACGUACGGGAGUCACUGCCCGUACCUUGACGGUACCUUAUCAGAAAGCCACGGCUAACUACGGGCCAGCAGCCGCGGUAAUACGUAGGUGGCAAGCGUUGUCCGGAAUUAUUGGGCGUAAAGCGCGCGCAGGCGUGCCUUUAAGUCUGAUGUGGAAGCCCACGGCUCAACCGUGUAGAGUCAUUGGAAACUGGAGGACUUGAGUACAGAAGAGUAAAGCGGAAUUCCACGUGUAGCGGUGAAAUGCGUAGAGAUGUGGAGGAACACCAGUGGCGAAGGCGGCUUUCUGGUCUGUAACUGACGCUGAGGCGCGAAAGCGUGGGGAGCAAACA
rnacentral:rRNA from 1 species